GUCCAGACUCCUACGGGAGGCAGCAGUGGGGAAUAUUGCACAAUGGGGGAAACCCUGAUGCAGCGACGCCGCGUGAGUGAAGAAGUAUUUCGGUAUGUAAAGCUCUAUCAGCAGGAAAGAAAAUGACGGUACCUGACUAAGAAGCCCCGGCUAACUACGUGCCAGCAGCCGCGGUAAUACGUAGGGGGCAAGCGUUAUCCGGAUUUACUGGGUGUAAAGGGAGCGUAGACGGUGAAGCAAGUCUGAAGUGAAAGGCGGGGGCUCAACCCCCGGACUGCUUUGGAAACUGUUUGACUGGAGUGCAGGAGAGGUAAGUGGAAUCCCUAGUGUAGCGGUGAAAUGCGUAGAUAUUAGGAGGAACACCAGUGGCGAAGGCGGCUUACUGGACUGUAACUGGCGUUGAGGCUCGAAAGCGUGGGGAGCAAACAGGAUUAGAUACCCGCGUAGU
rnacentral:rRNA from 1 species